CGGAUGUGCCCAAGUGGAUCAAGGCAGUGGA
rnacentral:tRNA from 1 species